rnacentral:rRNA from 1 species
GACGAACGCUGGCGGCGUGCCUAAUACAUGCAAGUUGAGCGCUGAAGGUUGGUACUUGUACCGACUGGAUGAGCAGCGAACGGGUGAGUAACGCGUGGGGAAUCUGCCUUUGAGCGGGGGACAACAUUUGGAAACGAAUGCUAAUACCGCAUAAAAACUUUAAACACAAGUUUUAAGUUUGAAAGAUGCAAUUGCAUCACUCAAAGAUGAUCCCGCGUUGUAUUAGCUAGUUGGUGAGGUAAAGGCUCACCAAGGCGAUGAUACAUAGCCGACCUGAGAGGGUGAUCGGACACAUUGGGACUGAGACACGGCCCAAACUCCUACGGGAGGCAGCAGUAGGGAAUCUUCGGCAAUGGACGAAAGUCUGACCGAGCAACGCCGCGUGAGUGAAGAAGGUUGUCGGAUCGUAAAACUCUGUUGGUAGAGAAGAACGUUGGUGAGAGUGGAAAGCUCAUCAAGUGACGGUAACUACCCAGAAAGGGACGGCUAACUACGUG